UUUGCAAUGCCACCCCCCUCCUCUUUUACACCGCUGCUACUCUCUGUUGUUAUCAUCUAUACAGUCACUUUAAUAACUCUACCUACAUGUACAUAUUACCUCAAUUACCUCAACUAACCGGUGCCCCUGUACCGGUACUCCCCUGUAUAUAGUAUCGCUAUUGUAUAGGUCAAAAACUCUAUUUUAUUUGUUGGUGUAGAUGGCCAAGGAAGUUGCACAGAACUUCCCCAACAUCCCCUCCCAAAUUGAUAUGGAACCUUCAAAAACACAUGGAGCAACUGCAAAAAUAAAUGGCUGAGGAUAUACUAAAAAUGUCUGGUAUGUAAUGACAAAGUAAAUGUGAAUUCUUUAUUUUUAUGUAGUUGGGACAGCCAUAUGUUCAGUUCAUACCUAUGAUUUCGGAGUUCAACAAAGCCAACAACUGCUUCAUGUGUGCCACUGAUAAAGAACCUGGAUGUGGCCCAAAGACUGACUGGGUUAGUAACUUUAUUUAACAUGUUUAUAAUCUUUUGACAACAGUAACGGCAUGUCAGACAAUUCACGAUAUAACACAAUGGAUGGAUAAUUUGUAAUUCGUCAUACUGCAUUAAUAUUUGAUAUUAUUUAUAACGUGUUCCGCUUUGUUUUGAUUGGAUGUUUUGCAUGCCAACGGUGGUUCCAUGUGCUGUAACUAGGAAUGAAGACAAAAGGGUUCAACAUAGGAAAUAACACAAACUGGAAGUGCAGUCUUUGUUGUUGAAAACGUAUGCUAUGCCCCAUCCACACUGAAGAGGCUCUGAAAUGUACAUCAACCAGGGAUAAAGAGAAAGUUAACAUUGUGAAAUGUUUCAUGCUUAAUUGAAGUUAAGUGUCUGUUGACAUGUUGGAAAAGAUUAAAGGUCUACAAUUUCUGUUUAAUUUGUCAAUAUUCCAUUUUUAUUCAUUGAUUUACUGGCCCCCAUUACUGUGGUUACAUGUAUUGACCAGACUACCUCACCAGCUCACUCUCCAUCCCUGUCCAGCCUACCUCACUCUCCAUCCCUGCUUUGGACAAUUAUUAGCAUGACUCUCGUACUUUGCCCUUUUCCUUUAUGGUUGAUAUUAACGACGAGAUAUUAUCUGUCUCUGUCCUAUUGUGUACCACUGUUAAAUACUGGGGAAAAAUAAAAAACUGGGAAAAUAAGUACUUAGAACUACCAAUUAUUAUGGAUAAAUACUAAAGAAAAGGGUAAACACAACACUGGACUGAACCCCCUAAUUUUCAAACUAAUAUUAAUGUAACGUAAACUCACCCCAUUCUAUACAAACGUGCUUAACCGCGACAUUCAAACGAGGCUACAAAGAAAACUAAUGGGACUGUAGCGACUGUGUUGACUUCAAAAUCGGGGGCGUGAACUACGUUUCUAUUCAAGCGUUGAUCGACAUGGUAAUGGUUCUAUAGUACUGGAGAAAAGUUUAAAAAACUGACCUUCCGUUACAUCUUGACGUGUCAUGUCGUAACGUACAGCACGCAUAAAGCAACUAUUUCUGUCUUACAAUCUCUCUCCACCAGGUGUAGCACUUCUAUCAUCCUUUAAAAACAAGAAAUGGACAGUAAGUAAGGGGGGAUACCUAGUCAUGUUUUGCUUCAUAAUUGCAUGCGAUCAUCAUUCUCAAAGCCGCUGUUUACUUCUAAGAUCACUUUGGCACUGCCCUAAAACCCGAUUCAAAUUCGACACAAAUGUUCAAAUAGGUAUGUAAUGACACAUUAUAUAAACUAUUUAUAGUGUUUUAUUUACAUUUUAGAGGCGAUAAGGUGAUAAGUUGGACAGAUCUAGUGAAAAAAGCUAUUUUCCCACACGACAUCUGUCCUUCUCACUAUCACGCAUUAGUUUCGCUUCAACACCCGCCAUUUUUAAAAAGACCCGACGGGGCUCAUUGCCUGCUUGAAUUAUGCAGAAACGGGCAGAGUUUAGGUCAUGUAAUUGAUUUUGUUGGAAAGGGGAGAAAUUGUGCUUUACAAUGGUAUUGACAUUACAGUGAUCUGGAAGUAUUACGUUUUUGGGGCGCUAAAAUAAGGGCAAUUGUACGGACCAAGGCGAUGUAGGAGUUUACGUUACAACAAUAUAGAAGAUACAUGACUAGAGGUUAUGUAAUAUGGGUG
rnacentral:lncRNA from 13 species